rnacentral:rRNA from 1 species
UACGUAGGGUGCGAGCGUUAAUCGGAAUUACUGGGCGUAAAGCGUGCGCAGGCGGGCUUUAAGCCAGACGUGAAAUCCCCGGGCUUAACCUGGGAAUGGCGUUUGGGACUGGAAGUCUGGAGUGCGGCAGAGGAGAACUGGAAUUCCUGGUGUAGCAGUGGAAAUGCGUAGAUAUCAGGAGGAACACCGAUGGCGAAGGCAGGUCUCUGGGCUGACA